AAGUCGAGGGGAAACGAUAGAGAAAGCUUGCUUUUUCUAGGCGUCGACCGGCGCACGGGUGAGUAACGCGUAUCCAACCUGCCCAUCACUUGGGGAUAACCUUGCGAAAGUAAGACUAAUACCCAAUGACGUCUCUAGAAGACAUCUGAAGGAGAUUAAAGAUUUAUCGGUGAUGGAUGGGGAUGCGUCUGAUUAGCUUGUUGGCGGGGUAACGGCCCACCAAACCGACGAUGGAUAGGGGUUCUGAGAGGAAGGUCCCCACAUUGGUACUGAGAUACGGACCAAACUCC
rnacentral:rRNA from 1 species